rnacentral:rRNA from 53 species
AGAGUUUGAUCAUGGCUCAGAUUGAACGCUGGCGGCAGGCCUAACACAUGCAAGUCGAGCGGUAGCACAGAGAGCUUGCUCUCGGGUGACGAGCGGCGGACGGGUGAGUAAUGUCUGGGAAACUGCCUGAUGGAGGGGGAUAACUACUGGAAACGGUAGCUAAUACCGCAUAAUGUCGCAAGACCAAAGUGGGGGACCUUCGGGCCUCAUGCCAUCAGAUGUGCCCAGAUGGGAUUAGCUAGUAGGUGGGGUAACGGCUCACCUAGGCGACGAUCCCUAGCUGGUCUGAGAGGAUGACCAGCCACACUGGAACUGAGACACGGUCCAGACUCCUACGGGAGGCAGCAGUGGGGAAUAUUGCACAAUGGGCGCAAGCCUGAUGCAGCCAUGCCGCGUGUGUGAAGAAGGCCUUCGGGUUGUAAAGCACUUUCAGCGGGGAGGAAGGCGUUAAGGUUAAUAACCUUGGCGAUUGACGUUACCCGCAGAAGAAGCACCGGCUAACUCCGUGCCAGCAGCCGCGGUAAUACGGAGGGUGCAAGCGUUAAUCGGAAUUACUGGGCGUAAAGCGCACGCAGGCGGUCUGUCAAGUCGGAUGUGAAAUCCCCGGGCUCAACCUGGGAACUGCAUUCGAAACUGGCAGGCUAGAGUCUUGUAGAGGGGGGUAGAAUUCCAGGUGUAGCGGUGAAAUGCGUAGAGAUCUGGAGGAAUACCGGUGGCGAAGGCGGCCCCCUGGACAAAGACUGACGCUCAGGUGCGAAAGCGUGGGGAGCAAACAGGAUUAGAUACCCUGGUAGUCCACGCCGUAAACGAUGUCGAUUUGGAGGUUGUGCCCUUGAGGCGUGGCUUCCGGAGCUAACGCGUUAAAUCGACCGCCUGGGGAGUACGGCCGCAAGGUUAAAACUCAAAUGAAUUGACGGGGGCCCGCACAAGCGGUGGAGCAUGUGGUUUAAUUCGAUGCAACGCGAAGAACCUUACCUGGUCUUGACAUCCACAGAACUUAGCAGAGAUGCUUUGGUGCCUUCGGGAACUGUGAGACAGGUGCUGCAUGGCUGUCGUCAGCUCGUGUUGUGAAAUGUUGGGUUAAGUCCCGCAACGAGCGCAACCCUUAUCCUUUGUUGCCAGCGGUCCGGCCGGGAACUCAAAGGAGACUGCCAGUGAUAAACUGGAGGAAGGUGGGGAUGACGUCAAGUCAUCAUGGCCCUUACGACCAGGGCUACACACGUGCUACAAUGGCAUAUACAAAGAGAAGCGACCUCGCGAGAGCAAGCGGACCUCAUAAAGUAUGUCGUAGUCCGGAUUGGAGUCUGCAACUCGACUCCAUGAAGUCGGAAUCGCUAGUAAUCGUAGAUCAGAAUGCUACGGUGAAUACGUUCCCGGGCCUUGUACACACCGCCCGUCACACCAUGGGAGUGGGUUGCAAAAGAAGUAGGUAGCUUAACCUUCGGGAGGGCGCUUACCACUUUGUGAUUCAUGACUGGGGUGAAGUCGUAACAAGGUAACCGUAGGGGAACCUGCGGUUGGAUCACCU